AGUGCCACUGGCGAAAUCAUAGCUCUCACUGCACUCCACCUCAUGGGCUCAGAUGAUCCUCCCGCCUCAGCCCCCUAAGUAGCAGGGACUAUAGGCGAGUGCUACCACGCCUGGCUAAUUUUUAAAAUUUUUUGUAGAGAUUGGAGAGGGGGGCAGUCUCACUAUGUUGCCCAGGCUGGUCUCGAACUCCUGGCCUCAAGCAGUCCUCCCACCUUGGCCUCCCACAACAUUACAGGCAUGAGCCACUGUGUCUGGCCCCCCUUCCAGGGACUAUUAGGCCAGCUUUCAUACUGGGCUUAAUUCCACAGGGAAACCCACUUCUAGAAUUAUCCCACCUGAGGGUGAGGAAGCUGGGGUAUUUAUACUCCCCAAAGGCAUUGGCCGAGGGCUGGUCCUGUGUGUGUGUGUGUGUGUGUGUGUGUGUGUUCGUGUGUGUGUCCUGGCAUUUCUAGCUGUGUGUGUGUGUGUGUGUGUGUGUCCUGGCAUUUCUAGCUGUGUGUGUGUGUGUGUGUGUGUGUGUGUCCUGGCAUUUCUAGCUGUGUGUGUGUGUGUGUGUGUGUGUCCUGGCAUUUCUAGCUCUGUGUGUGUGUGUGUGUGUGUGUGUGUCCUGGCAUUUCUAGCUGUGUGUGUGUGUGUGUGUCCUGGCAUUUCUAGCUGUGUGUGUGUGUGUGUGUGUGUGUGUGUGUGUGUCUCCUGGCAUUUCUAGCUGAAAGGUCCAAAGGAAAAGGGUGGUCUCUGGGGAAGCCUCAGCUACCUCAGCAACACCGUGGGUCUGAGAGGGACAGCAUGGAGGGCUAAGAUCAGAUUCCUGACCUUCAAGAGCUUACAGUGUUUUGGGUAGACAAAAAAUGAAUGUACACUGUACACAGGAGAAGUUAAAGCCGAUACAGACAUCACAGAAUGCUCAUUUGAAAGUUAAGUGAAAAUGGCUGGGCGCAGUGGCUCAGGCCUAUUAUCCCAACACUGGGAGGCUGGGGCGGGUGGAUCAUCUGAGGUCGGGCAUUCGAGACCAGCCUGGCUAAUAUGGUGAAACCCUGUCUCUGGUAAAAGUACAGAAUUAACCAGGUAUGGUUGCAGAUGCCUGUAGUCCCAGCUCCUCAGGAGGCCGAGGCAGGAGAAUCGCUUGAACCCAGGAGGCGGAGGUGGCAGAGCCAAGAUGGCACCACUGCACUCCACCCUGGGCAACAGAGCAAGACUCUGUCUGAAAAAAGAAAAAAAAAGUUAAGUGGGCAUCGUGGUCCCUGCUAGCCCUGGGCUGGCACAGCAGCCCUCUUCUGACCCUUCCUUAAAAGGCCAGUUACAGUUUCCACAUUUGCCCUUGCACCCUGUCAAAAUAUACUGAAGAGAUGUUUGGAAGAGUCCUCUCCUGCCAUGGAGAAUGGUGAGCAGACAGGAACGGCCCUCGCUGUGCUGAGGCCAGGCCUGUCCUCUGCUCUCCAUGGAGAGGAAGGGGCAGGAAAUACUCCAGUGCCAGUCACAGGACCUCGCUUGUGCCGCAGGGUAUUAAAGGCAGAGACAGAACAAGGGCAGCCACGGGGCUGGCAUCUCAUGUGCCCUCCGGGUCUACCACAGUGGCUGGGGCCUGGGGCACAGAGGAGUGUGAGAGUGCACUGGGCUGAGACGGUCGCUUAGCAGCACCUUCCAUGGCGGUGAGGGGCAGGGGCGGGGGCUGUGGUCAUCUCCCAGCCGUGAGGUAACAUUCUGGGAAAGUAGCUAAGAUGGUGAGCUUUGACACCAGAGCUGAAUUCAUCUCUUUCCCACCACAUGCUAGCAUUGUGGCCCCUGGCAGAUUGCUUCACCUCUCUGAGCCUUAGUUUCCUCAUCUGAAAACCGGACUGCAAAUUCCUACCUUAGUGCUGUGAGAAUCAAGUGCAAUGAGGCAUCUAGCAUGGCGCCUGGCACCCAGGAAACAAACUAUUUACGAGUUUUCAUCAGUGGUAUUUCAGGUUGAUGUGGCCACAUGUCUGCUAGAGAGACUGUCCCGAGUAAUGGUGUAGACCUUACCUCCUGGAAGGGUCAGCUUCACAAACGAAAUCUGGCUUCAGUGGCUGGCCAAGAGAUAGAAUUCACACACAGAGAACAAAUGACGGGGGCCCGGAGCAGGAGAGAGUGGAGCAGGAAGGAAGCCCGGGCCCUGAAGGCCGGUGCUUAACGUAUAAUGAUAGAAAGCAGGUGGGGUGAAGGUUCCCGGAACACACAAGUAGCUUCAACUCAGAACACCUUGGGUUCAAAGGUUGCAAAUCUUCCUCACACCCAGGCUGUAGCAGUGAGGACUCCUUCAGGGCAAGAAACGAACCACAGUGAAAACCGCCUUACAGACCAAGGGGAAUGGUUGACUUUUUUUUUCUUUUCUUUUUUUUUUUUUUUUUGAGACGGAGUUUCACUCUUGUCACCCAGGCUGGAGUGCAAAGCACCAUCUUGGCUCACCACAACCUCCGCCUUCUGGGUUCAAGUAAUUCUCCUGUCUCAGCCUCCUGAGUAGCUGGGAUUACAGGCAUGUGCCACCACGCCCAGCUAAUUUUUGUAGUUUUAGUAGAGAUGGGGUUUCACCAUGUUGGCCAGGCUGGUCUAGAACUCCUGACCUCAAGUGAUCCACUCACCUCGGACUCCCAAAGUGCUGGGAUUUACAGGCGUGAGCUACCACGCCUAGCUGGAAUGGUUGACUUAUAAAGCCAUCAGUCCAGGGUUGCCUGUGGCUUCAGUCAUGGCUGGAUCCAGGAGGUCACACUGUGUCAUCAAAAUGUCUCUCUCCAUAUUUCACCUCUGCCUCCUCCAUAUCAGCUUUAUGUUCAGGCAGGUUCUCAUCACAGGAUGACAAAGACAGCCACUGACAUCCUUAUAAUUUUGUAAGGAAAAGAGAGUUACUCCUCUGUCCCUAUCCAGUGUCCGUAUCAAUCCCAAGAAGGUCUCUGGCCUGGCAGGGGUCAUAUGUCCAUCACUGGACUAAUCGUAGCAGCCAGGCGAAUACAGUGUUUGAUGGCUACAGAGACCUAGAACGUGGAGCGGGGCAGGACAUCCCAGCAGCCAGGUGAAUGCAGUGUUUGAUGGCUACAGAGACCUAGAACGUGGAGCGGGGCAGGGCAGCCCAACAGGACGCAUGAGCUAAACAGAUUGUUACAGAGUCUAUCCAGAAUCUGGCUGGGUGCAGUGGCUCAUGCCUGUAAUCCCAGCACUUUGGGAGGCCAAGGCAGGAGGAUCACUUAAGGUCAGGAGUUUGAAACCAGCCUAGCCAACAUGGUGAAACCCUGUCUCUACUGAUAAUACAAAAAUUAACCAGCAUGGUGGCACGCACCUGUAGUCCCAGCUACUUGGGAGGCUAAGGUGGGAGAAUCACUUGAACCUGGGAGGCAGAGGCUGCCGUGAGCUGAGAUCACGCCACUUGCACUCCAGCCUGGUCAACAAAGCGAGAUUCCAGCAAAAAAAAAAAGAAAGGAAGGAAGGAAGGAAAGAAAGAAAGGGAAAGGAAGGAAAGGAAGGAAGGAAGGAAAAGAAAGAGAAAGAAAGAAAAAGAAUGUAUCCAGAAUGUCUCUGUCUCUCUCUCUCCUCUCUUUGAGACAGGGUCUGGUUCUGUCACAGAGGCUGGAGUGCAGUGGCAUGAUCUAGGCUUACCGCAACCUCCACCCCGUAAGCUCAAACGAUCCUCCCCCUUCAGCUUCCUGAGUAGCUGGGACUACAGGCGCACACCACUAUGACUGGCUAAUUUUUGUAUUUUUUGGUAGAGAUGGGAUUUUGUCAUGUUUCCCAGGCUAGUCUCAAACUCCUGAGCUCAAGGGAUCGGCCCGCCUCAGCCUUCCAAAGUGCUGGGAUUACAGGCAUGAGCCACUGUGCCCGGCCAAUCCAGAGUCUGUGUAGAAUAUAGAGUGAUUCCCUAAGCGACGACAAGUAGAACAGGUUUGUCCAUUGCCUUCCAAAUGAAGAAUGAUUCCUUUUAAUUUUCACUUUUUAAAUGUUUUAUACCCCAUCCAAUGACCUAUCAAGAAUGAUUCAUUUUUGGUGAGGCGCCGUGGCUCAUGCCUGUAAUCCCAGCACUUCGGGAGGCUGAGGCAAGUGGAUUGCUCAAGUCCAGGAGUUAAGAGACCAGCCUAGGCAACAUAGCAAAACCCCAUCUCUACAAAAUAUACAAAAAUUAUCCCAAGUAGUCCCAGCUACUUGGGAGCCUGAGGUAGGAGGAUCGCUUGAGCCUGGGAGGCAGAGGUUGCAGUGAGCCAAGAUUGUGCCACUGCACAAUCAGCCUGGGUGACAGAGCAAGACCCUGUCUCAAAAAAAAAGAUAUAUAUUUUUAAAAGCCUCUGACCAACGGUCAUGGGAGUGGCUCACAGGGCUUGAGUGCAUCUCAAUUGACCUGAAUUGACUACAUGCUUAUCCCCAAGACUACAGACCCUUGGCCAUUGCUAUGGAAUCCAUAAAGACAAACAAUGCUCUGUAAUCAUGGGCCCGUGAGUUGUUUUGGAGCAGAGUGUGGCAACCUUCAGCACUGUUCAGUAAUAACAUUUGGGGUUACGAUUUGCACCUGGUUUUGGUGGCACCUGAGUUUCCACCUUUAAAGCUAGUCACGUAGCUAGAAUGUGCCCACAUGACCAACUCAGAAUAGAAGACCCCCAGCACGAGAAGACUCUGGGUUUCCUGGCACCGAGAUGCUUCGUACACACACAGGUAGUGGUUUGAGACUCAGGAACAAGGCGCUCCUGCGUGAGCCUCGUGAACAUCCACUGUGGGCCCCACAGGAAGACAAGCUCAGGGAUGUGGCCGCCUUUGUGCGGUUGGCGUGGUAAAUGGCCCCCAAGGAUCUCUGCCUCCUGGUAUUCAUGCUCGUCUCUUGAAUGCGGGUUGAACCUGUUGGCUCUUUCUAGUGAACAGAAUAUGGCAAAAGUGAUGGGAUGUCACUUCCAAGAGGAAGUUACAAAAAGAGAUUGCGUUCAGGAGGAGGAAGAGAAGCAAUGGGAUGAAUAGCCUUGGAAGAUAGAGAUCAUGUCUCCCUCCAGAGCAAAGGGCAGAUUAGCUUCAAUGAUGACAGAAGAUCCCGGUUCCCGGGCUCAGAGCUCCGCUGCUGUAACGUAAGCCCUUCUGUCCUCAUGUCACCUAGAGCCUCUUCCUGUCACCCUGUGGGAAGUGAUUCUGAGGAAAGCAGCACAAUUGCAGACACUCUGGCUACUGCUUUGCUGUGACUAAUAAACAUCCUUUGUCUUGUCUCUGG